rfam:Candidatus Wolfebacteria bacterium RIFOXYD1_FTLL_48_65 rifoxyd1_full_scaffold_917, whole genome shotgun sequence.
GCCCCCAUGGCGAAAUUGGUAGACGCGCCAGUUUUAGGAACUGGUUCCGCAAGGAUUAGAGGUUCGAGUCCUCUUGGGGGCA